CUUAGUUGCUAACGCGUGAAGGCGAGCACUCUAGACGAACUGCCGUUGACAAAACGGAGGAAGGUGGGAUGACGUCAAAUCAUCAUGCCCCUUAUGUUCUGGGCUACACACGUGCUACAAUGGCCGGUACAGACGGACGCAAAGCCGCGAGGUGGAGCAAAUCCUAAAAAGCCGGUCUCAGUUCGGAUUGCAGGCUGCAAUUCGCCUGCAUGAAGUCGGAAUCGCUAGUAAUCGCAGGUCAGCAUACUGCGGUGAAUACGUUCCCGGGCCUU
rnacentral:rRNA from 1 species